AAGAGCAAUUUUAUUAUAUGCAGAUUAUAUGUUGUACAUUUCCAGUACAUAUAUAUACAUAUAUAUAUCUACAUAUAUAAAAAUAUAUAAAAGAAAAAAUAAUAAAUAAUAAAAUUGCUUAAAACAAAAACUUGAUGCUAGCACGAUUAUCAGGGCAUAAGAUGUUAUAAAUUGUGAGCAUCCUAUGCAGUACAAGUUUGUGCACAAUUA
rnacentral:snoRNA from 1 species